CUAUUAUGGAGAGUUUGAUCCUGGCUCAGGACGAACGCUGGCGGCAUGCCUAAUACAUGCAAGUCGAGCGAAUGACGAAGAAGCUUGCUUCUUCUGAUUUAGCGGCGGACGGGUGAGUAACACGUGGGCAACCUGCCCUGUAGAUUGGGAUAACUCCGGGAAACCGGGGCUAAUACCGAAUAAUCCAUUUCCUCACAUGGGGAGAUGUUAAAAGACGGCAUCUCGCUGUCACUACAGGAUGGGCCCGCGGCGCAUUAGCUAGUUGGUGAGGUAACGGCU
rnacentral:rRNA from 1 species